rnacentral:rRNA from 1 species
GGCGGUAUGCUUAACACAUGCAAGUCGAACGGCAGCACGUUUAGUAGCAAUACUAAAGGGUGGCGAGUGGCGGACGGGUGAGUAACACGUAGGAAUCUGCCCAAAAGAGGGGGAUAACCCGAGGAAACUCGGGCUAAUACCGCAUAAUUUCUGAGGAAUAAAGCUGGGGUAACCUGGCGCUUUUGGAGGAGCCUGCGUCCGAUUAGCUAGUUGGUGGGGUAAAAGCCUACCAAGGCGACGAUCGGUAGCUGGUCUGAGAGGAUGAUCAGCCACACUGGGACUGAGACACGGCCCAGACUCCUACGGGAGGCAGCAGUGGGGAAUAUUGGACAAUGGGGGCAACCCUGAUCCAGCAAUACCGCUUGUGUGAAGAAGGCCUUAGGGUUGUAAAGCACUUUAGGCAGGGAAGAAGAUUAGUAGUUUAAGAGAUGAUUAAUUUGACUGUACCUGCAGAAUAAGCACCGGCUAACUCUGUGCCAGCAGCCGCGGUAAUACUGA